GUUAUCCGCCGGAGGUAAAAGUCAAUUUUUUUAAUACCAGAGAAAUACAAAACGACUUUAUAAUAGACGAAAUAUCGCGAGUGCUUUGUGGGAACCGUAUGUGGGAAAAAGGUAUAUCCGAGAUAAUUAAUUAAGCAUCGCGUGAUCGCAUUGUGGAGCGUGCCGAAAAGAGAGCAUUUAUAUAAUUACAACAACAUAAAAUCGUUCAUUUCAAAACAAAUCAAGCUCAAGCUCUGGUUUAACGGUAACUGAGGCUACGUUUGGUAGGAGCUGUGAAAAUGGCAGCGAAGAUGGCAGUAAUCUGCAGCAUUUUGGCUGUGUUCAUUCUGCUGCCCGGCGCUCCAGCCUUCCGCACGCAGUCGUCCGUGAUACAGCCCCCUGCCCAAAGUGACAAAUUCGCGCCCAGUCGCAGCGUCAUGCAUCGUGCGUUCGCCAAUGCCGGUCGAGCGCCUGGUUUGGAGAUUUGGCGCAUUGAGAACUUUGAACCUGUGGCUUACCCAAAAAAUAACUAUGGCAAAUUUUAUACCGGCGACUCAUUUAUUGUACUAAAUACAAUCGAACGCAAAGACAAAAAACUCUCCUGGGAUAUUCACUUUUGGUUGGGUUCGGAAACAUCGACGGACGAGGCUGGUGCUGCUGCUAUUUAUGCUGUGCAGCUGGAUGACCAGCUUAAUGGCGCACCGGUGCAGCACCGUGAAGUCCAGGAUCACGAAUCACAGCUAUUUCUCAGUUACUUCAGAAACGGCGUGCGUUAUGAGCAAGGUGGCGUUGGAACCGGCUUCAAGCAUGUGGAGACUAAUGCAGCCGGCGAGAAGCGUCUCUUCCAGGUGAAGGGCAAACGUAACGUGCGUGUCCGUCAAGUAAAUCUGUCCGUGUCGUCGAUGAACAAAGGAGAUUGCUUCAUUUUAGACGCCGGCAAUGAGAUUCUCGUUUAUGUCGGACCACAAGCGAAGCGCGUGGAAAAGUUGAAAGCGAUCAGCGCGGCAAAUCAAAUCCGCGAUCAAGAUCACAACGGACGUGCCAGGGUGGAGAUAACAGAUGAGUUCAGCUCGGAUUUGGACAAGCAGCACUUUUUUGAAGUUUUGGGCUCAGGCGCGCCAAACCAAGUGCCGGACGAGGCUGCUGAGCAAGAGGAUGGUGCUUUUGAGACGGCCGAUGCGAACUCAGUGUCUUUAUAUAAAGUAUCAGAUGCACGUGGUGGGUUGAAAAUCGAUCCCAUUGCCACAAAGCCUUUGCGUCAAGAAAUGCUAGACACCAACGACUGUUUUAUUUUGGAUACUGGUUCUGGCAUUUACGUUUGGGUGGGCCGUCGCUCGACACCAAAGGAAAAAACGGAUGCCUUGAGCAAGGCACAGGAAUUUUUAAGCACCAAAAAAUACCCCGCUUGGACACAGGUACAUCGCGUGGUCGAAGGCGCUGAAUCUGCGCCAUUUAAACAAUAUUUCGCUACUUGGCGCGAUGUAGGUAUGUCACACACACGUUUGGUGCGCUCUGCAAUGGGUUAUGACUCAGACGACUCGGAAUUAAGCGAACUUACCGAAGUGGAAGAACUCAAAAAGAGCGGAGGUAGUGCUAUUGGCUUUAUGCCCGAUAACGGUGAAAAUGAUAUCGUAGAAGCGGUACAAUAUGUUAGUAACCGCGGACGUGGAGACACAUUACGAAAUGCUAUUUCACUGACACCAAAAAUGCCGUUGUUGGGAUUCGCCGCUUAUGUAAUUGUUUACAAGUACAAUAACAAGAAUGGCGAAUCAGGCACGAUUAUCUACGUGUGGGAGGGUGUUAAAGCUACAGAGGUUGUAAAGGAACGUGCGUUCGAGGAUGGCUUGGCUUUGGCGCUUGAGCUCGAUGCAAUAUUGGUGCGUACCACGCAGAACAAUGAACCACGUCAUUUUCUCAAAAUAUUCAAGGGAAAAUUGGUUACAUCUUACACCGCUGUACCAAUCCAUCCACAACUAUAUCGCAUACGCGGCACUGAUGCCAGCGAUGUGCAUGCUAGCGAAGUGGUUGCGGACUCGUCGUCACUAGCCUCAAACGAUGUCUUUGCUUUGACUACAAUGAACCCGCAAAAAGUCUAUAUAUGGGUUGGCUUGGCCGCUAGCAAGUUCGAGAAGGAUAUGGCCAUCGAGCGUUUCUCAAAGUACUGGUCUGAUGCUGUUGUCGAAGUGGUUGAGGAGGGUGCUGAACCCGAUAACUUUUGGGAGCUUUUGCACGGUGAGGGCAUCUACGAUCGCAGCAUGACUGAGGCGACUAAGCCUCUACUUGAACCAAGGCUAUUCCACUGCCGUUUGAAUAGUGAACGCUUGCAGGUGGAGGAAAUUGCGCACUUCGAACAAGCUGAUCUCGACACAAAUGACAUAAUGCUAUUAGACGCCGGUGAUGAAGUCUAUAUGUGGGUCAGCACAGGCGCCACAGCCGAGGAAAACGGCAGAAUUCUAGAUUUGGCGAAGAAAUAUAUUAAGGAUGAGCCCACAGAACGCACAAUCGAUACUACCACUGUCAUACGCAUUGAACAGAACCACGAACCUCGCGCCUUUACUCGCAUGUUCCCCACUUGGGAAGCUAAUUACUGGCAGUAAUGAUUUUUUCAACUAUUGAACGCUUUAUUGGACAUACACACUAUUCAAAAACACAAACAAACAUUCAACAUUACAAAAAAGAUCUGCCUGCAAUAUACAUACAAACAUAUCUGUUUGUUCUAAAUAUUUUAACGAUUCUAUAACAAACUGUAGUAACUCACAAAAUAAUCAUUCCUAACAUGCCACACCUUCGUUUGAAGACCUUAGGAAGCAAAUUUUGGAAACCAACGACAUCAUCGACUCCAAUGAGCUUUAACUGCGUUUCUAACCUUACAAAACGUCUCGAAUACCUUAUGAAUAAACAAUGAACAAUUAACUUUAUACAAUAAAUACAUCGAAUUUAUUUUUAAAUGGUGAAAAAAAUGUAUUUUAUUUUUUAACCUUAGUUUUUUGUAAAGAAAUGUUUGGCGAUAUAUACAUACAUACAUAAUAUGUAUGAAAACAUUUGCAGCACUUUUAUUCGUCGCUCCAAAUGACCAUAAGAAAAGCAAAAAUAAAUCGAAACAUAAUAAUUUUAAAAAUUCAA